rnacentral:rRNA from 1 species
AUUGAACGCUGGCGGCAGGCCUAAUACAUGCAAGUCGAGCGGACCAAAGAGAGCUUGCUCUCUGAGGUUAGCGGCGGACGGGUGAGUAACACGUGGGUAACCUGCCUGUAAGACGGGGAUAACUUCGGGAAACCGAAGCUAAUACCGGAUGAUAAAGAGAAACGCCUGUUUGUUUUUUGAAAGUCGGCCUUGUGCUGACGCUUAGAGAUGGGCCCGCGGCGCAUUAGCUAGUUGGUGAGGUAACGGCUCACCAAGGCGACGAUGCGUAGCCGACCUGAGAGGGUGAUCGGCCACACUGGGACUGAGACACGGCCCAGACUCCUACGGGAGGCAGCAGUAGGGAAUCUUCGGCAAUGGACGAAAGUCUGACCGAGCAACGCCGCGUGAGCGAUGAAGGCCUUCGGGUCGUAAAGCUCUGUUGUCAGAGAAGAACAAGUACCGGAGUAACUGCCGGUACCUUGACGGUACCUGACCAGAAAGCCACGGCUAACUACGUGCCAGCAGCCGCCGUAAGAC